CGGUAUAUAGCUUAAUCUGGCGGAGCGCAGUCUUGAUAAGACUGAGGAUAUUGGUUCAAUUCCAAUUUUACCGA
rnacentral:tRNA from 1 species